rnacentral:rRNA from 1 species
CCUACGGGAGGCAGCAGUGAGGAAUAUUGGUCAAUGGGCGCGAGCCUGAACCAGCCAAGUCGCGUGAGGGAAGACGGUCCUAUGGAUUGUAAACCUCUUUUGUCGGGGAGCAAAAGACGCCACGCGUGGCGUUCCGAGAGUACCCGAAGAAAAAGCAUCGGCUAACUCCGUGCCAGCAGCCCCGGUACUACGGGGGAUGCGAGCGUUAUCCGGAUUUAUUGGGUUUAAAGGGUGCGCAGGCGGAAGAUCAAGUCAGCGGUAAAAUUGAGAGGCUCAACCUCUUCGAGCCGUUGAAACUGGUUUUCGUGAGUGAGUGAGAAGUAUGCGGAAGGCGUGGUGUAGCGGUGAAAUGCAUAGAUAUCACGCAGAACUCCGAUUGCGAAGGCAGCAUACCGGCGCUCAACUGACGCUCAUGCACGAAAGUGUGGGUAUCGAACAGGAUUAGAUACCCCUGUAGUC